GGCCUUAUAGCUCAGGGGUUAGAGCACUGGUCUAGUAAACUAGCAGACAUGAGUUCAAAUCUCAUCAAGGCCU